CGCGUAGGCGGCGUAUUAAGUGAGAUGUGAAAUCCCUGGGCUUAACCUAGGAACUGCAUCUCAUACUGGUAUGCUAGAGUAUUGUAGAGGGUAGUGGAAUUUCCGGUGUAGCGGUGAAAUGCGUAGAGAUCGGAAGGAACACCAGUGGCGAAGGCGGCUACCUGGACAAAUACUGACGCUGAGGCGCGAGAGCGUGGGGAGCAAACAGGAUUAGAUACCCUGGUAGUCCACGCUGUAAACGAUGAGGACUAGAUGUUGGUCAGCAAGACUGAUUAGUAUCGAAGCUAACGCGAUAAGUCCUCCGCCUGGGGAGUACGGUCGCAAGAUUAAA
rnacentral:rRNA from 1 species